AUGGACAGGUUCCACGACAGGCAGCACGUGUGGCUGCGGAGCCGCGUGCACGGCACGUACCUCAAGGCCAACAGCGACGGGAAGACCGUCUCCCUUCGCGGCCGCCGCGCCUCGCUGAAGGCCGCGUGGACGGUGCACAUCUACCAGGGUGAGGGCGACGCCGUGUACCUGCUCCUCCACAGCGCCGCCUACGGCCGCUACCUCGCCGCCACGGCCAGGCGCGCGCCGCUCGGGCUCGGCCACAACGGCUUUCGCGCCGAGCAGCGCAACUACGAUGAGCCGGACGUGCAGGCCAUCAUGUGGGAGGCCGUCGGGGCGGGCUCCGGUGACGACGUCAUGCUCCGCAACGUCGGCGGCUGCUACCUCCGCGCCAACGGCAGGUACCUCCGCUGGAACACCGGCGUCAGCGUCGAGGACAUGGACAGAGUCAGCAACAUGGCGCACUGGAUCGUCGAGCCCAUCCCCGCCAGAGAGGCGGGCAUGCCUGACCUUCCUGGCCCGCCCAACCGCGUCCUCUACAUGGUGCUCGGCCAGGCGUGGCGGACGAUCGUGUUCGUGCGAGCGAACGCCGAGGGGUUCUACGACGAGGGCAACUGGCACAUCUUCCCUUUCAGGGGGAGGUCCGUGAACCACCUGAGGAAUGAGCUGGCGGACCGCAUCGCCUUCAUCGACGGCCAGUACCCCGACGGCAUCGCCAUGUGCGUCCGGGCGGGCCUCUAA
rnacentral:rRNA from 1 species